GCAUGCUCGGCUCCCUUUUAUGAAUGGGGGGCUGGAGGAAGACUGGCUGCGAGCCGCGGAGAACGGAUACGGCUCUCGCUCGCUGUUUGCGUGUCCCCCCUCCCCCCCCCCCUUCAUUUAUUUAUUUAUUUUUCUGUGAAUGGAGGGCAGGCGGUGACAGCUGCGCACGUACCGCGCCCUCUGCCCGGCCUGAAGCCAGCAGCCCUAAUGCUGUGAAUACCCGCAGCUGCUGCAGCUCUGCCUGCUGGAUGGUGCAGUAACGUGGAACCUUAACAACAGGAAGAAAAGGAGGAUCAAAGCCCGGGGAGGGCCCUUCAGCUGUUUGCUUUUCCUUUAUGCAGAAACUUUACCGUGGCUGCCCUAAAAACUCCACCAGACACAUUCAAGAAUCCCUCCUCAGAAAAGCAAAUGACUUCCCACAGCCUAAAGUAAGGUGCUGGUUACCUGCUGGCGUUUAUCCCCCUCUGCUUGCAGCUGCCCUGGCUGAGCGCAGCAGGAGAGCCUGGAGUGAUGGGGCAUCACUGCUGGGAUGGGGCUGCUGCACGGCACAGGUGGGUACGUGGCCUCUCAUUUGGUUUUGGUUUUUUUUUUUUUUUUAAACCUUUUGGACAUCUUUUCUAAGCCAGAAGCAGUUUGUAUGUGCAUUGCUGCUUAGAACGUCCUGGGGCUUCUCCUGCUGGGAGGAAGCUCCAAGAGUUAAAGCUGCUUAGCAGCAGAAUUCUUUGAAAAACCUUAAAAGGAGAGAAUAAAUAGUUCUGAGGUGAAAAUACAGCACUGAGUGUGGAUCUCUGGCUCCUCCCUGCUGGUGCAUGGGAUGGUUUCUGACACCAGUUGCUUGGGACCGCUGAAUCUGAGAGUUCUGAGGUGUAGUGCUGCAUUGACACAGCCCUCAAGGCAUGGAGGUCCAUGGGAUGGCCUGGACAGCAUGAGCCCACCUGUCUGAGCCAUGCCAAUGUGCCAAGGGGUGUCUGCAAGGCUGGGCUCAGGUCCCACCAUUGGCUGGUAGAUGGCAGCCUGUUUUCUCCUCUCUGCAGAGUGGUUUGGGUCAGAUAAUGGACUAAAUGCAGAAUGAGGAUCGAACCACACACCACUGUAUGCUUUGUAGGUGAUGCUUUGGGGACAAUCAUUCAUUUGAGAUGUUGGUACAGCAGGGAAUGUUUUUCAGGCAGAGCAUAUUGUGGGAAAGAGGCUCAGAACAGAUGUACUCAUAGCUGAUUCCAUUUAUCAUAUUAAAAAUAAAGAAAAGACUAUUUCGGCUCAUUUUCUGCUUAUUAGUUCAAAUAAACAGCUUUUCUAAUCAAUGUGUAUGGCAAACACAAUGCCUUCAUAAUUGGCAGUAGUGGUUCCAAAAUUAAUGAGACGGUCCUUGUUUAUUCUCUGGUAACGAGUCAGACAGUUAAUGCACUGCUCUAAUCCUGCCCUUCUCCUAUUCCUUUGGGUACAGGGAAAAAUUAUGCUCUUGUUUUAAGAUUUAAAGAGUUUGAGGGAUUUUCUUCCCCAUCCAUUUGAAUGAACACAGCCAGAAGUGGGAGCGGCCGCGCUGAGCACCUGAGCAGCACUGUGGGAUCUUCUGCUCUCAUUUGUCCAAAGGGCUUCAUUGAUCCUUACUUCCCUUCCAAGAAUGCUGAUCUGAUUUAUGAAGUGAUAGAAGAGGCCAGGAGAAUAAUUUUACCUAUGAGAGCAUAGUGCUGUCCAAGUAAUUGCCCAGGAAAAGAGUAGAUCUGCUGCUGCAGAUGUUUCUCAUCUGGAAUACGGACCCAUUUUAGCCAUUUUGGGGGAUUACUGUUUAUUUUGAUGCUUUUUUAUACUGCAAUUACCAGGAAGGAAGCGAUGUGCAAGAAUGUAUAUAUUUCAGUAACAAUUAGGGGGUUUAACCCCUUUCUCCCCCUCCGCUUUCAGUAUUUGUGAGCUCUUGGUUCAGUUCUUUCAGGGGGAGCAGAACCCCAUAGUGCUGUGAGGUUCUGCUGCUGCCCAUCACUGCUGGAGCCGAACAACCCGCUGGUUUGGGGACGCCUUAAUGCUCAUUUUCUGUGUGACUAAUGAGGACCUGUUGGCUUUUUUUGCCACCUAGUGCUUCUGUCCCUGCAUUACUGUGAGGGGUUGGGCUGUGCAGGAAGGAGCCCCGCGCUGCCACCUCCCUGGCCAGAAGUGCUCAGUCUGUCAGAGGUGCCUUGCAGGAAUGGAAUGAAUUGAGCCCUGCUCUGUUUUGCUAAAGAGGUACAGAGCAAGGCAGCAAACCUGAGGUAUGCUGAAUGGGAAGAAAUAAGCUUACAUCAAUAUGUUUGGAUCUGGAGCUGUUUGUGACCAGGAUUUCAAGCCUGACAAAUCCUUUACAAAGAUGCUGAACUUGCUGAUACGUUGCACAGGGAGAUGCAUGGUCACACUGCGGGCAGAGCUGCAGAUCUGUUAGCUGCACAUGGAGUAGUCUGUGCUCUGGGCCUGCAGCUUUCCAUGCUCUGAGACACCGUAGCAAUCACUCUGUGAUUGUGACCAUCAUGAUUAUGACCAUCACUUCUGAGGAUGGACGUACUUGCCAUUUUAACUGAGGGGAAUAGACAAGCUGUGGGGGGCUAACCACAUUUUUGAUGGUCCUUGCUCUUACCAGUUUCAUACUUAUGACUUUUGUUUAUCUUGCAGCACUAUUCAAAUUUAUCAGCACCAAAAGACACCUGCAGAGAGGAGACAGAGGCCCGGCAGCAUGCUGGCUGUGUCCCACUGUGGUGCUGUGGGAUGGGAGCCGAUGGGAGCCGGGUCUGCUGAUGUUAGGAGCUCUCCCUUCCCCACACAGCUCCAGCCCUGGCUUGACAAAGCCCUGCUGUAAUGCAGUUGUUGUGCUCCGAGGGGAGCAGGAAGACUGUGGAGUUCUUCCAAGAAUUUUUCAAUUUCCACAGAUGAAAAUAUAGUCUAAACCAGAUGCCAGCUGAAACGCACUCACUUCGUACCACCUCGCCAAGGCAGCGCGCCACGGGCUCAGCAAUGUGACCUUUAAAAUGGCCUUUCUAGAACACACUGCUAAGAGCACUUUCUAAAAAGCCACAAUUGCAGCUACUCUUAUUACUCAUAAUGUCUUUGAUGGAGAGGAAUACUCAGGGAACUUCAGCUUCAGCAACCCGGUAGAGUCAGUUCUGUGCAGCGGAGGCUUCCUUCGUGGCAUUACAGACUUGAGACCACGAUGAGAGCGUUGGUGAUAAUGAACAUUUCCUAAAGCAUUACUUGUAUAAGAUUAAAAUGAAAUAAAAGCAGUGAAACCUUUGCUUUGCCCAUGUGAAAGAAUGGCUCUGCCACUUAGCCAUUCGUUCCUAGAAGUGGAUAUGUAUACCUGUGCCUUCUCCAUGUAUUUGUAAGUCUAACAAAUAUUAUACACACAAAUAUACACCAAUGUUAUGCAAAAUGCAUUCAGGCAAUGUAUUUCAAAUCAAUGAAUAUUUUGAGUCAUCAGCCUAAAUGGUGUUUGUAGAUGCAUAAUUGCAUGCUACUUUCUGGGAUUUUUUGUAGUAUUCUGAGUGGCGCUGAGCCGCCACUUCAUUAAAACUGUCCCUUGGGAUCCAAUUCUUUGGGUUUGUUUUUGCAUGUGCCAGGAAAUUUGGACCCUGAUUUCUGUAUGGCCACCACUGCCAUGCUGGUGCACUGCCGGCCGGCGGCACUGUGUGGCACUGCAUGGCCCUGGUGGGCACAGGGAGCAGAAUAACAUGAGAUCCAGUUUGCUUUGGUCAGUCUGGGAGAGACUUCACAGCAGCAGUGAUGGGACACUUUAGAGUUGGCUGAGUGGAGUUUUCCUAUCAUUUCUGAACCUUCUGUCCUUAAACUGAUUCAACUAAAUAUGUGACAUUUUGAGGAAAACUUGCCCUGUGUCUUUAGCUUCUUUCAUACCAGACAGGGUGGGAACAAGAUAAGUUUGCUUAAAAGCCUUUGUUUUCACUCACUUCUCUACUUGCUUGGUGUCCCAACACACUGGUAUUCAGAUUUGUCACCUCACAGGGCCUUGGUUCUGCCAGAACUCCUGCCUCUGGCUACCAGCAGUGGGAUAUUGAAGGGUUUGAGCUGCUGUCAUCAAGCAGCAACAAACUUACUGCUUUAAUCAGCUCCUUUCCAUGCGAGAUACAACUUGCUGAGCUCCGUGGUUCCUAGAGGUAAUGCCUCAUUUCCAAAAACUCCUGUUUCUGACCAUUGCUGUGGUUUCCCUGGAGUGGGACAGCCAUCCUUGCUCAGUCCCUGCCCCAUCAUUGCCCUGCCCAGCAAUACAGGGCCAGAAGCCCCACUCCCACUUCUCCUUGCACAGCCUUUGGUGGCUCAUGGGACUGCGCUGGCACUGCUGCUCUGUGCCAUGUGGUGACAGGGCUGUUAUUCCAGAGCAACCGGAUGGGGACCACCAAUUUAGUUCUCACAGACCAUGGCUUCUGGCUCUUCGAGAGCAUUGUUUUGACACUGGCAGGAAAAAAUUAGGCCAUUGUCUUUGCUCCCAUGAAAUUUCCUGUCCUCUCUUUAUGAGGUGUGUGGCUGCACAAAGUGCCUUUCUGCUCCCGCAGCAGCGAAUCUUGACACCCACAGCUUGGGCUGGUGUCCCAGGGUGGGUUUUCUUUCCGGGUUGAUUUGGGAUUUUUGCCCACGGAAAAUGAAUGAAUGAACAAAUAAUUUGCAGCUGUCCGAAUGGCCGUAACAUCUCCGCGCUCUGCCCAGAGCUCUGGAAAUGGAUAUCAGAGCUGCUCAGGGCUUUGAUGCAGUCUCUGCACCUGGGCUAUGCUCUGGGUCUGGCAUAUCCCCGUGUGCUGUCACUGCCCUAACACAGUGCAGUCAAGGCUCUGGUAUCCUCUGUUCAAAUAACUCAUCUUCUGCAGUGUGCACACUAUGCAACUCAGCAUUCCCUGUUUGAUAAUGAAGGUCAAACCCAAAAGCAACUGGUCAAUUUUGGUCUCAUCCUUUUUAUUCCUAACAAAGAAGCAGCAGUACCUGCAGGCCCAGAGCGUGGUGUAAGCUGGUGUGAUGCUCUCCUUUGCUGUGUGUAAGGACUGCUGAUGCCAGCAGGUAUCUGGUGCAGAUGAGUGCAUUCACAUGGAAGCCCAUGUGCAGCUCUGCUGUGCCGGGUAAUUGUGGGUCACUUGGUUGGCUCUGUAAGGUCUCACCAUGUAGGAAUAAGCACUCAAAGGAGCGGACAUUUGCCUGCUUUCCAUACUACAGGCAUCAUUAAGGGCUUUGUUUUCUUUUUUAUCAGGCUCUGUAUAGAAUUUUCAAUAAAAUAUGAAGGAGGCUUUCGUAAAAGUAGUGCAAAGUUUGGCAAAAUGUGGUAACAGCUGAACCUCACGGUGUCCUCUCCUUCCUUUCGGCCUUCCCGUAAGGCAGGGCUGUUACAGGGGUGGGGUUUGCACAAAGGCAGCACUGCCAUCAGCCUUAGAGCAUCCCCGAUCACCGGCACUCGGCUUUUCUCCCCUCUGUGCCCACGGCAGUGCGUGCUCUGAAGGAGGGCAGUCCGCCUCACACCUCCCUCCCCAGCAGGCCUCCGGAGGACUGGGUGUUAAGAAAGACCAUAGCAUCUCACUCUGAGCUAUGCCUCAGCUUCCACAGAGAUAGGGAGUGAUAACGGCACGCUGCUAUCUCCUGUGAAGUGCGCAGAGACACACAGAUAAAAGCGUUUGGAGUGUGAAGUGCCAUGGCUUGGCAGCUGCUGCUCUCCUGCUGCCUGCGCUCCGUUGGCCAUUCGUUGGUCUGAAGACUACAAAUCACCUCCAGAGCUGCUCGGAGUGGAACCGAGGAGUGCUGUGCUAGGGCCGAUAGCUCCUCGUGUGCCUUCCUGCCGCUGUGGUACUCCCGUGAGAGCCACGGCCCGUGAUGUGGGAGGGAUUGUGGCCGGGAGGUUUGCAGCACUGAACGUGGGAGCACUCAGGAAGCAUUGCAUGGAGCCGACUUUGGACGCUGCUGCGCAAACAGCCCCAGCACAGCGCAGCCCCGGGCUGUGCCUCUGCCCCCGGAGCAGCACUGUUUGCUCACAGCGCUCAUUUGCCUUUUCAUUUAGCAAUUCGUCUGCUCUCUUUCCUCUGCUGCAGUUUCCUCACUCCCUCGCCUUGUAAAGCCAUCGUCUGCUACCUUUCCUGGGAACGGCCUCCCCGGAGAGCAGCGCGGACAGACGGCUAACGAGCGGACGGACGCCUAAUGGUGCUUUUCCCUUCCUUUUAUCCUGAGCCAUUUGCUGGGCUGUGCGGUUGACAGGCGCACAUCAGGGAGUCAACACGACACCACAUUUCUUUAGUUUUCCUCCCUCUGUUCUCCCUUUUCCCUCGUUCUUCUGAAAUUCAGGCUGAACCUUCCCAUUCCUCUGGCUGCGCUGAGCUCCGUGCAGCCCCAGCAGCCCCCGCUGCCCUUCUCCCCGUGCUCUAUGCCUGCUGAGGACGUGCUCUGGGGGCAGUCACCAAGCGAGUGAGUGCCGUUUGGCUUUGUUUUAUUUCAGUUUUGUGAUUUGUAGAGGUGAGUGGCUGCGAGUCAGUCUGACCGGCCUCCCCCCUUCCUCCGGCCUCCAAGAGGUCCCCAUUGCAUCUCUGCUGCCCAUAAGCACACCUUUCCCAGUCCUACUCAAGACGUUCCAUCUGCUGAGUAAAUCCCGUGCUCUUCGCAGGAAUUUUAUAUUAUCAUCUCAUUUAUUUUAUAAGGGUACACAUAGAAUUACUUUCCUUGUUUUUCUUCAGGAAAUGGCGUACCCUUACCCUUCCCCACCUUUUGUUUCCUGGGCAUACCAGCCCAGCUCCCAAUGCUGCUUGCCUGCAGUGCUGGCAGCCCUGGGCAUAAGGGACGCUGAUUCAGGCCAGCAUGGGCUCCCACCGCUCCGGGCAGCGGCCAUGAGGACAGCAGUGGCUCCCAGGUGACCACGCAGUGUGUGCUGGCCUCAGGAUCUGCAGAGCCACUCGAGCAAAUCAUCCAAAAAUAGGCUUCAUAUGUGAUGCAGAAGAACCCAAGCAAAACACAGAGCCCAGCCAAACCCAAAUUUAUGCUUGUGGUUACUGGAGUCUCCGAGAUCAAUUUUUUGUUUACUUAAAACUCAUUUCAAAGCAUUUUUUUCCCCUCGUUCUUGAUCCCCCAGCAGAGGAUGGCGGUGGCUGAGCUCCAGCCCCGGGCUGAGUGUCCUGGCACUGCUGGGGGGCAGCAGGCAGGGUACUGGGGGCUGCGCAUCGCCCUGCCGUGACCGCACAGUGACAGGCAGGGACACGCAGCCACGUGGGUCCUUCUGGGAAAUGACCGUGCUGCCGACUCGCUGAGCUUCCACGAAGUUGGCUGCUUAUGGGAAGCACUCCUGUACUAAUGUUCAACCCAGGGCUGGUAGAGAGGAGAGGAAAAAAGGAACGCAGCUGGCAGUACCAUGGUCCCAAGGUACCUCUGCGAGGUGGGAGUAUUUCAGAGCUGUGUUUUACCCUUCCUCCUCCUGUGACCAGGACUGGGGAACUUCUCUGUUUUGCAUGGGCUUCUGUGUCCAUCCUACAGCUGUGCCAGUCCCCCUUUUCUCCGGAGUUCUGCCUGGGGUCCCACAUGCUGCUGUCUGCUUCUCCUACGUGUCCCACUGCUGUGCUGCAGAGCACGGGCACAGAAGCCAGUGGGUAGAAAGCUCCUCUGCCUGGGCUGGGUAAGUGCUCUGCCUCAAGGUGUGUGAAACUGAGGGAAUAGUGAGAGGAGCAGUGCACCACAUGGCACAGGACAGGCAUCACGGCUCUGUGUGCACGCCCCAGCAUCUGCCUGGGGGGUCCACUCCGAUCCUCUCACCUCCAUCAGAGCAGGACUUUGUUUUGAUUUCUGAGUUUUUGAUAAGAUGGAAGACUGUGAGUGUUAAGAGAGCAGGUUUAGCUAAAAAAAUCUAAUCCAACAAACCAACCAAAAGGGGAAACCCCAACCUCAAAGCCCCACAGAACCACUGCAGAGCUGCAAUAACAGCAGCAGGGGCUGAGAUCAGACUCUGUGCCAUCCCACAUGCGUGGGGUUUGCCCCAGCAGGACAGAAAAGCCUAGAAAGUUGCACUUCAACGUACUUCAGGACAAACCGUAUAGAGCAUGACCAUGGGGGACAACUAAAUUGUGGGCAGGAAGAAAUGGUUUGCCUCUUUUUCUUUUCUUAGCCCUUUUGAUGCUCGUUGGCACAUUUGCCCCAUUGCAGCUUUCCACCAGGCCCCCCAUGGCAUUUUUGUCAGAGCUGCAGGGAAACGCCAGCUUUGUCUGGGGCUGCUGGACACAGGGAGAUGGCACUGGAGAGACAGAAGGAGGUUCCCAAUGGGUUCAAUGACAUCUGAGCAACGCCCCUGUGUGCUGCUGGGUUGGGCUGUCCCCGGAGAGCACUUCACGGGAGCUCUGUUCUCAGUGAAAGGCACCCAGCAUGGAGGCCCAUCUCUGGACUCCCCCACUUGCUCCCAGAGUGCCGCCAGGUACUCGGAGGGACCUGGAUGAGGAAAACUGAACUGCCACAUGAAGAUGGGUCUGCCUGGGUGAGCAGUGCCUGCACUGAGGUGCCAAUGCAUUGCAUCUGGCUUUGCUUUGGGAGUGCUCUUGGAGAGGAGAGUUUGGGCCUGAGCUUGAGGCUGUGUUCUCUGAAAAACAAACACCCAGCAGCACGAGGAGCUCACCCCUUAACAUCGCAUGGCCGUGCCUUCGCCAUUCCUUCCUCUUUUCUUCAUCCUGCAUUCAAGGUGUGACUUCAAUACAUGUGACCAACUGGAAAUUGCAGUCGCCAUUUGGAAGGGCUGGUUCCUGCCCUCGGGAAUCAUGUGGUCAUCAGGACCUGGCACUGUGUCCAGCCAUGCACUUUGCUCUAGCAGCACUGUGCCCAUGGUGAUGCUGCUGUGCCCAGGGCAUGGCAAUUCCAAGCACCCACCGCAGCCGCCCCGGUCCCCUCUGUCCCUCCCACACCCCUCUUUGUCCCCAGCUCGGCGCCAGCUGUCAGCGCAGGCACAGCACAGCAAAGCCUGCAGCAAACACAGUACGGGUGCUCCCCAGCACAAGCCAUCGCCGGGGCGGAUUUGGCACCGAGUUAAGUCAUAAAGGAUAAAUGUGCUUUAUAGCCACAUUCAGGAUGUAGCUCUAAUGGCUAAAUAAAAACAUACCCAAAGCCGUGGAAGCUGUCAGCUGAGGCCCGAGGGAACUGUGCUGUUGUACAAGCAGACUGGGACUGCUGCAAAUCACUGCACAGAAGAAGGAGAAAGGGCUGAACUAAAGAAGUGAAGAGAGAGGGGAGCAAGUGGGAGGGGGCUGCUGAGGAGCAGCAGCAUGAAUUUAAACUCAGCACUGAGGAGUCCUUGCAGAAGUGCAGAUUGCUCCACAUCCCUCUGUGUCCCCAGGUGGGCAGGGGAGGAUGGUGCUGGCUGUGCCGGGGGGUUGGUGUGCCUGG